GCAGUGGUGGUUCAGUGGUAGAAUUCUCGCCUUCCUUGCAGGACACCCAAGUUUGAUUCCUGGCCAACGCA
rfam:Loxodonta africana unplaced genomic scaffold scaffold_27, whole genome shotgun sequence.